AUUGAACGCUGGCGGCAGGCCUAACACAUGCAAGUCGAACGAGUGGCGGACGGGUGAGUAAUGUCUGGGAAACUGCCUGAUGGAGGGGGAUAACUACUGGAAACGGUAGCUAAUACCGCAUACCAUCGGAGGUGCCCAGAGGGGAUUCGCUAGUGGGUGGGGUAAAGGGUCACCCAGGCGACGAUCCCUAGCUGGUCUGAGAGGAUGACCGGCCACACUGGAACUGAGACACGGUCCAGACUCCUACGGGAGGCAGCAGUGGGGAAUAUUGCACAAUGGACGAAAGCCUGAUGCAGCCACGCCGCGUGUAUGAAGAAGGCCUUCGGGUUGUAAAGUACUUUCAGCGGGGAGGCGUUACCCGCAGAAGAAGCACCGGCUAACUCCGUGCCAGCAGCCGCGGUAAUUC
rnacentral:rRNA from 1 species